UACGUAGGGUGCGAGCGUUGUUCGGAAUUACUGGGCGUAAAGCGCGUGUAGGCGGCUAAGUGUGUCGGGCGUGAAAUCCCACGGCUCAACCGUGGAAGUGCACCCGAAACUACGUAGCUAGAGUCCUGGAGAGGAAGGUGGAAUGCUUGGUGUAGAGGUGAAAUUCGUAGAUAUCAAGCGGAACACCGGUGGCGAAGGCGGCCUUCUGGACAGUGACUGACGCUGAGACGCGAAAGCGUGGGGAGCAAACAGG
rnacentral:rRNA from 1 species